rnacentral:rRNA from 1 species
GACGAACGCUGGCGGCGUGCUUAACACAUGCAAGUCGAACGGAAAGGCCCUGCUUUUGUGGGGUGCUCGAGUGGCGAACGGGUGAGUAACACGUGAGUAACCUGCCCUUGACUUUGGGAUAACUUCAGGAAACUGGGGCUAAUACCGGAUAGGAGCUCCUGCUGCAUGGUGGGGGUUGGAAAGUUUCGGCGGUUGGGGAUGGACUCGCGGCUUAUCAGCUUGUUGGUGGGGUAGUGGCUUACCAAGGCUUUGACGGGUAGCCGGCCUGAGAGGGUGACCGGCCACAUUGGGACUGAGAGACGGACCAGACUCCUACGGGAGGCAGCAGUGGGGAAUAUUGCACAAUGGGGGGAAGCCUGAUGCAGCAACGCCGCGUGCGGGAUGACGGCCUUCGGGUUGUAAACCGCUUUCGCCUGUGACGAAGCGUGAGUGACGGUAAUGGGUAAAGAAGCACCGGCUAACUACGUG